UGAUGAUUGGGUAAUAUACCCAUGAAUUAAUUACGUUUAACCUUAAUUUGUUAUGUGUUCGAAGCGUUUUAGUAUUAUUUUACUCGCUUUAGUGUGUUGUGGCAGGAGUGUGCAUUGAUUGGGAGCAAUUAGGAACAAUGUGGAACAAUUGGGAUGAAAAAGGAGGCAAGAGGCAUUUUCUGCUCAACAGCGCCGGGGCGCUAUUCCUAA
rnacentral:lncRNA from 1 species